CCUACGGGUGGCAGCAGUGGGGAAUAUUGCACAAUGGGGGAAACCCUGAUGCAGCGACGCCGCGUGAGUGAAGAAGUAAUUCGUUACGUAAAGCUCUAUCAGCAGGGAAGAAAAUGACGGUACCUGAGUAAGAAGCCCCGGCUAACUACUUGCCAGCAGCCGCGGUAAUACGUAGGGGGCAAGCGUUAUCCGGAUUUACUGGGGGUAAAGGGUGCGUAAACGGUGCGCCAAGUCUGGAGUGAAAUGCCGGAGCUUAAAUGCGGAACGGCGUUGGAAACUGGCGAACUAGAGUGCGGGAGGGGUAAGCGGAAUGCCUAGUGUAGCGGUGAAAUGCGUAGAUAUUAGGAGGAACACCGAUGGCGAAGGCAGCUUACUGGAGCGUAACUGACGUUGAGGCUCGAAAGCGUGGGGAGCAAACAGGAUUAGAUACCCGGGUAGUC
rnacentral:rRNA from 1 species